rnacentral:lncRNA from 1 species
UGCUCAGCUCAGCUUACGUGGUACUGAAAUUUGAGUAAUGAAUGAUGAUUCGGGCAUCCUGCUUCGUGUACGGCCUUGCCCUGUCCUCCAUGCAAUGACCAGGAUGAAAGAGAGCUCUGGAAUGGGUGUCUGUAGUUCUCCAGGAGAUAAGGCAAAGCAGAGCAGAACAGUGGCUUGA